rnacentral:rRNA from 1 species
ACUACGGGAGGCAGCAGUGGGGGAUAUUGCACAAUGGGGGGAACCCUGAUGCAGCGACGCCGCGUGGGUGAAGAAGCGCCUCGGCGCGUAAAGCCCUGUCAGCAGGGAAGAAAAUGACGGUACCUGAAGAAGAAGCCCCGGCUAACUACGUGCCAGCAGCCGCGGUAAUACGUAGGGGGCAAGCGUUAUCCGGAUUUACUGGGUGUAAAGGGGGCGCAGACGGCGAUGCAAGCCAGGAGUGAAAGCCCGGGGCCCAACCCCGGGACUGCUCUUGGAACUGCGUGGCUGGAGUGCAGGAGGGGCAGGCGGAAUUCCUGGUGUAGCGGUGAAAUGCGUAGAUAUCAGGAGGAACACCGGUGGCGAAGGCGGCCUGCUGGACUGCAACUGACGUUGAGGCCCGAAAGCGUGGGGAGCAAACAGGAUUAGAUACCCGUGUAGUC